AAUCCAUGCAUUAGACAUUUUUGAAUUAAGUCUUUAAAUUGUUCUCAAGCUUCAUAUAGUGUUUCAUGCUCCGAUUUCCCAAAAGAUGUGAUGUCAUUUCUAAGCUU
rfam:Gossypium hirsutum cultivar TM-1 chromosome 23, whole genome shotgun sequence